rnacentral:rRNA from 1 species
GACGAACGCUGGCGGCGUGCUUAACACAUGCGAGUCGAACGGAAAGGCCUGCUUUCCCUUGUGGAUUGCGGGUACUCGAGUGGCGAACGGGUGAGUAACACGUGAGCGAUCUGCCCCCAACUUGGGUAUAAGCCUGGGAAACUGGGUCUAAUUCCCGAUAGGACUGCAGGGUGGUGCCUGUGGUGGAAAACGAUUUUCUAGUGGUUGGGGAUGAGCUCGCGGCCUAUCAGCUUGUUGGUGGGGUAAUGGCCUACCAAGGCGGCGACGGGUAGCCGGCCUGAGAGGGUGGACGGCCACAUUGGGACUGAGAUACGGCCCAGACUCCUACGGGAGGCAGCAGUGGGGAAUAUUGCACAAUGGGCGGAAGCCUGAUGCAGCGACGCCGCGUGGGGGAUGACGGCCUUCGGGUUGUAAACUCCUUUCGACCGCGAGGAAGCCACCUGGUUGGAAGGGUGGUGACGGUAGUGGUGGAAGAAGCACCGGCUAACUACGUG